AUGGGUUUUGGAUAUAAUGACAUCAUUUUUAAAAUGCGUCCUUGUAUCAUGCUUAGGACGUUCUAGUUUUUUUCCAAAACACGGGGGAGACGGGAGAGCAUGGUAAACUAAGGCGCCUACCUCUGAGUUUGGUAAGGUCCCAGGUUCGAUUCGAGGAAACCCAGACAUAGAGAACAAUAAUAUAGAAGUAUAUAUAUCAGUCUCCCAAAUCACGGCACUUUGCAGCAAAAUUGAAAGGGAAAACCCUAAAUUUUCACUUUCCCGGGUUCUCCAAAAUUUCCCUCUCUAAGUUUCAAUUUCCCACCAUGAAAUCUCGCCAAAUUCACUUUAGAAAUCACCCCGUUCAUUUACUCAAACCGAGGUAUCAGAGCAGAAGAAGAAAAAGAAAAAAGAAACCGAGUUUUAUCAAUGUGCUCUGAUGCUUAAUGACCCAUCGAGCAUCACUGACUUCGAUCCAUAGCUUUUCUUCCUUGCAUAGUCUUCUUUUGCUGUUCUUAAGUGCUCAGGCUGUCUCUGGCUCCAGUAUGCUCAUAGAGUUCUCAACUCUGAAAGGUACCAUCAUGCCCAUCUCCUUUACGUUUUGGGAAGGACUGAAAGAUGACGCCUGAUUCUAGGAAAGUUGGGACGGGGAUGGCAGCAUCCCCAUCUCCUUUUCUCACGCCUCGGCCCGAAAAGCGGCGUGGUACUCUUGAUUGGAAUUCGAAUCACAAGGAUAAGGAUAAGGAAGUUAAUGUGCAAGUUGUGCUCAGAUGCAGAGUCUAUCAUAUGAAGUGUUUUCGUAUUUCAAAACAACCAUUACUUCUUCCUCACCAGCUCAUCCAGAAUUCAUAUUUCUGCAAGAACCAGGGAAUCAAUGUCGGAGAUGUUUAGAAGCUUCAGGACGCAGGGACCUACACCUGCAAUGGCUUGACGAUGCACACCAAGAAUAACUUGACUGGAAUUAAAGGUUUAUCUGAGGUCAAAGUCGAUAAGAUUUGUGAAGCUGCUGAGAAGAUUGUGGUUAGUGCUCAAAUUCUGUUGCGGUCUUGUACUAAGUCUGGUAUUUGGUCUAGCUGCAAAAAUGGCUGAAGAGCCAUUCAGACUUCUGGAAAAGAUUUCAGUACUUUACUCCCUCAGCUGGGUCGGAUCCCUUUUUUUACUUUAUCUUUGUUUCCUCCCUUAAUUAUACAAGAGUUUUAUUUAAGAUCUGCAUGGCUUCUAAUACAUAUGGAAUUGACCAUUCUGUUGGAUAAUAUUAUUGCAUUUAGUCUUCCCAUAAUUAUUGCUUUGCUUCCAGUUCAACUUACAUUCAUGAUUCAAGGUAUAUAUUUUGUUUAGGUUGCCAAUGUGAAUUGUGUGUCCCUAGAGUCAUUGCCAAGGUAUAUAUUCAUGAUUCAACUUUCUGUACUGCUUCUGAUUUUUAAUCUUGUUUUGUUUUCAGAUAAUGAAUUUUAUGUGUGCUUGCUAUCCAUCAUAUCGUUCUUUACAUAGGCCAAGUAAAAAUGGGACACUUGAAGUUGGGGAAAACAAAAUUCUUGAUGCUAAAACUGGUUCAGCAAGCAAGAGGCGACGUAGUACCAAGACUGUUAAAAGUGCAGAAAUCAUCAUUUAACAGGGUCUGUGCUGCUGUGAAUAAUAUUCUUUAGAAAAUGAAAGUUGAGAUAAGUGGUAUAGCGUGCAGGAGGUUCAAAAGUCAUGUUAUGCAGCUUGAAGCCCUAUUGAGAGGAGUGGCGCCAAUGUUGACAGCAAUAGGUUGAGGACUAGCAAAAGAAAGAUCAAAAGGCCAAUAAAGUACAUUAACUACCGGGAUUAUACACGGUACUUCUAUGCAUCAAUUUUAGCUUCACGAGUAUUAAAAACUAAAAAGACAUGCUAAGCAGCAGCUUGAGUUUCUUCAAGUGUUUCCUCUUCGUCAUCAGUCUAUAUACAUGUUCCACGCUCAUGAUGCUCCUCUAGUUAACUACUAUUAAAACUGUCUUUUUGUACAAUGAUUUGAGUUUUGUAAUUGAUCUUUUUGGUAACUUUUUCAGUUUUAUAGAUAAACUACAUUUAGGUGGUUCCAGACUUCCAGUGCUAUCUGAUCAUGGAAGUCCUAUUGUAGGUGGAGGGUUCCCCUGUACAUUACUUCAGAAUGUUGUGCUAUUUGUUUUCUUUAGAUAAAGAUUUGUACAAUUGUAUGCAUGUCUAUUGUCAUCUAGGAUUAGAUAAGAUUAGAAUGUAUAACUAGGAAUCAGUUACUAGAAUGUGCUUGUAGUCAAGUAUAUUGUAACAAGUAAUAGAUACAAUGACGUUUGUUUUGGGAUUGUAAAGAUUAUUUGUAUGUAAAUGUCUUCUUUUCA